CCAGCUGGGAAGAGAAGACCCAGUAUAACAUGAAAGAACACCAGCAGAGAUACCACUAGAGAUAAGAGGUUGCUACACAAGCUUCAGUCCCUGUAAACAUGACUAAGUAGAUAAUAAUUAAACCUAAUGCUUAUUCUUAGAAUAAUUCGUUGACCUAGAAAAUCUGUUUUCUAGAUUAAGCACACGUUUAAUGUGUUCAAAACAAAACCAUGAAAAAGGCAUCUUUAGUGUCUAAUUGUUCAUCCAAACAGGAUAGACUUGAAUCACACACAGACUGGAAGCUGGAAGUGCAAUACCUAACCUCUACUACCUUCCCCAGAUGGAUAUAGAGCCUACAGUCAGGUUCUUGAACAGAUUGUCCCUGUGCACCCAUGUCGUUCCACACGAAAACUUUUCCCUCACCUUGAGAUUCAUUUUCAGCCAUUUCAGGCAUCUUUAAUGAAGUUGCGGCAGGACUGGACAACCUCCGUCAUCUGAAGGUAGCUGGCCACCGACAUCACUUCAAUGGCAUUUUGGC